rnacentral:lncRNA from 1 species
GAGACACAGCAAGAGAGAGAACACAGCAGAGAGAGUGGGAGAGGGAGAACAGGCUUCCAGCUGACCAGGGAGCCCGAUGCGGGGUUGGAUCCCAGGACCCCAGGAUCAUGACCUGAGCCAAAGGCAGAAGAUUAACCGCUUGAGCCACCCAGAGGCAGAACUUUCCGGAAAGCUGCAUACAUCCUCCUACUUGAAAUUCCAGGAUAGCUGGGCAGCUUCGGCCUUUUGUCCUCCACCUGUGUGCAGCUAUCAGCAUUACGUGGUGGUAAGUACUUUUUUCAAGACUGAGGGCCUGGCUGCCUUCCAGGACCCCAUUGUUUAUGACCUUCCUUUUAUUUAAUGUUCUAUUUCUAUAAUUACAGAUGUUGUUGAAUCUAAUCAAGAAUCCAGGUGUGCUACCUUUGCAGCCCCAUGUGAUCUUAAAGGUCCAAGAUCUACAGGCUAGUUGGAACAGAGGAGUAGAGGAAGAAGGAAAGAAUAUUUAUUGUCUUGAAUCCAAAAUGUGGUGAGAGAACUUGGCAAAAUACAGAAGGUUUAAAAGAUUGCCACAACUCCUUGACAGUUUCAUUGUGGGUUGUUUUUUUUUUCUUAAAGAUUUU